GGAUGUGAGGGCUGCGACAUCGGGCACCCCAUUCCAUUGAUUCCGCUGAUCUGGCUGGCUAGGAAGGUGUCCCCUUCUUCCCUCACCAUUUCAUCUGCAUCCCACCCAAGGCUGUGAACAGUAUCGAAGAGUAUGGCUGUCCCCAUAGAGAAGCACUGAUUGCCAAGGGUAUACAAGUAGCUGCGCUUCCCUGUUAGAACCUCCAACAAUUUGCCCCUAUUCGGAAGAAGGUUUCACUGGGCCUGGCACAACUAUGCCCCCUCUCCCUCCAAUGGUGGCUGCUGGUGUGCAAAUAAAU
rnacentral:snRNA from 1 species